UCGAGAAUCUUUCACAAUGGGCGAAAGCCUGAUGGAGCGACGCCGCGUGGAGGAUGAAGGCCUUCGGGUUGUAAACUCCUGUCAUGAGGGAACAAGAAAGUGAUAGUACCUCAAGAGGAAGAGACGGCUAACUCUGUGCCAGCAGCCGCGGUAAUACAGAGGUCUCAAGCGUUGUUCGGAUUUACUGGGCGUAAAGGGUGCGUAGGCGGUGGCGUAAGUCGAGUGUGAAAUCUUCCGGCCUAACCGGAAAACUGCACUCGAUACUGCGUCAUUAGAGGACUGUAGAGGAGACUGGAAUUCACGGUGUAGCAGUGAAAUGCGUAGAUAUCGUGAGGAAGACCGGUGGCGAAAGCGAGUCUCUGGGCAGUUCCUGACGCUGAGGCACGAAGGCUAGGGGAGCAAACGGGAUUAGAUACCCAGGUAGUCCCUGAGCGGGCUGGCAAGGCGCAU
rnacentral:rRNA from 1 species